rnacentral:rRNA from 1 species
GUAACCUGCCUUUGAGACGGGGAAUAACGUUCUGAAAAGAACGCUAAUACCGCAUAACAUAUAUUCGGAUCGCAUGGUCGGUAUAUCAAAGAUUUUAUCGCGUCAAAGAUGGACUCGCGUCCGAUUAGCUGUUGGCGGGGUAACGGCCCACCAAGGCGACGAUCGGUAGCCGGACUGAGAGGUUCGAACGGCCACAUUGGGACUGAGACACGGCCCAGACUCCUACGGGAGGCAGCAGUGGGGGAUAUUGCGCGAAUGGGGGCAACCCUGACGCCAGCAACGCCGCGUGAAGGAUGAAGGUUUUCGGAUUGUUAAACUUCGUUUUGUCAGGGACGAAAUCUGACGGUUACCUGACGAAUAAGCUCCGGCUAACUACGUGCCAGCAGCUGC